rnacentral:rRNA from 1 species
GUGGUUUAAUUCGAAGCAACGCGCAGAACCUUACCAGUCCUUGACAUGGGGAGUUUGGUUUCCGGAGACGGAUUCCUUCAGUUCGGCUGGCUCCCACACAGGUGCUGCAUGGCUGUCGUCAGCUCGUGUCGUGAGAUGUUCGGUUAAGUCCGGCAACGAGCGCAACCCACAUCCUUAGUUGCCAGCAGUUCGGCUGGGCACUCUAGGGAAACUGCCCGUGAUAAGCGGGAGGAAGGUGUGGAUGACGUCAAGUCCUCAUGGCCCUUACGGGUUGGGCUACACACGUGCUACAAUGGCAUCUACAGUGGGCAGCUAUCACGCGAGUGUGAGCUAAUCUCCAAAAGAUGUCUCAGUUCGGAUUGUUCUCUGCAACUCGAGAGCAUGAAGGCGGAAUCGCUAGUAAUCGCGGAUCAGCAUGCCGCGGUGAAUACGUUCCCAGGCCUUGUACACACCGCCCGUCACACCAUGGGAGUGGGUUGCACCAGAAGUGGCUAGUCUAACUUAGGAGGACGGUCACCACGGUGUGAUUCAUGACUGGGGUGAAGUCGUAACAAGGUAACCGUAGGGGAACCUGCGGUUGGAUCACCUCCUU